rnacentral:rRNA from 1 species
UACAGAGGUCUCAAGCGUUGUUCGGAGUUACUGGGCGUAAAGGGUGUGUAGGCGGUUAUUUAAGUUUGGUGUGAAAUCUCCCGGCUCAACCGGGAGGGUGCGCCGAAUACUGAAUGACUUGGAGUGCGGGAGAGGAAAGUGGAAUUCCUGGUGUAGCGGUGAAAUGCGUAGAUAUCAGGAGGAACACCGGUGGUGUAGACGGCUUCUGGACCGUAACUGACGCUGAGACACGAAAGCGUGGGUAGCAAACAGG